AAAAAACAAAGGGGAGAUGGAUGGGAGGGUAUCUUCAAGUGCGGUCCAAUCAGAGCGUAGACGGGGGAGGGACUUAUGUUUUGUGGUCCAAUCAGAGAGCCGACUGCUGUGCGCAGGACCAGCUAACAUGGCUACCCAAUGCUAAAGCGUUCCAAGAUGUUUUUCAAGCCCGGUACCGAAGGCAUAAAUGUUUUAGGAUGGAUGAUGUCACCUCCCAUCAAUUACCUCUUCAGCUGUAACAAGGAACUUCAGCAGCUCCGAAGCUGCAGUUGCACAGAGCCGUUUGUGUAACUCUGCUGGUGGCUGGUCACCACAGGUGGAGCCACGCCCACAGAGUUCUGUCCCAGUCUGGGAUCGCGUCCAUCUCUGUGAAUGCAAAGCGUUGAUUAGUUCCACUUCGGGGGGACAGCUGGAUGUUUGACCUUAGUGAAAGUGCUGAUGGAGUCACAGAGUUGUCUCUGAAUCUGUUCCAGGACGGCACAGAAACUCAUAGAGACAAUAGUCAUGGCUAACAGACCAUUAGUUUUAUUUUUAUAAUGCUGUUGUGUAAGGCUGUAAGGCUUGCCAAGUGUAAUUUAAUACUUUAGUCAUCGUUUACCACCCAGUGACACGGAGGCAUUGAAAGAUACCCAGACUUUAAUUUGCUAACCUCCACGUCAGAAUUUUGAUAAUAUUCAAUGCUGUUAUGAAACUUCAUAGCCCAUGAUGAAAAUAUGCUUUUAUUAAAACUAAACCUUUCAUUUCUGCUUCGCUCUGCUUCGCUCUGCAGAAAUUUACGUCCUUCUGGUUGUGUCCGGUUUCCUCCUGCAAAGCAAGAGCAAAUGUUAUUUUGGUGUUUACUGUGUAUUAGGGAUGCAAAAAUAAAUAUAUAU